UACGUAGGGUGCAAGCGUUAAUCGGAAUUACUGGGCGUAAAGCGUGCGCAGGCGGUUCGCUAAGACAGAUGUGAAAUCCCCGGGCUUAACCUGGGAACUGCAUUUGUGACUGCAUGGCUAGAAUCUGGCAGAGGGGGGUAGAAUUCCACGUGUAGCAGUGAAAUGCGUAGAUAUCUGGAGGAACACCGGUGGCGAAGGCGGCAUCCUGGACCAACACUGACGCUGAGGAGCGAAAGCCAGGGGAGCAAACGGG
rnacentral:rRNA from 1 species